CCUCCUGGCGCCUCGGCCCGCUCCCCCACCCCCCACCUCCGUGCUCGCCCCCCUCACCCCGUGGGCUCCUCUUCCCGAGCCCUCCACUCUCUCUCCUCAGCCCUUGGGGCCGAGCUCGUCCCAAGCCCCUGCCCCAGGAGGCUCCAGACACUGCAACGGGCUGGCGAGCUCCAGGCGGCCGACCUCGGGGUCUCAGGCGGGACCCAGCUGGACCAGGUUGGACCCUUUUGUGUGGCUGAAUAAAGUAGUCCAUGAGAGGUGCUGCUGAAGAACACCCGGGGAGGUGACCAGACUACAGAAUUUCCCACUGGAGAAGGAAGGUAAAAGCCAAGUGAAUGAACACAGCAACCGCUCCUGGAAGCUUCUGGAGGUUGGGAGAAAGAGAGGGACGAGAAGGAAAGGAGAGCAAGAAGGAGGCAGGGCCUGAUGCCCGAAGCCAGGGUGCACGUCCCUGGGCAGGCAGGAUGGAGGCCGCAGGGGUACCAGGAGGGUGGUGGAGGACAGGGGAAGGGUCCCUGGGGUACUUGCCCCAGAUCUGGAGGCCUCUUGCUUCCAGAGAACAAGCCCUGUCCAGCAUUCUCUGGAGCUGGGAGCGAGUGCUUCUUUGGGGCGGUUUGAGCCCUGAUGGGCACCAGGCGGGGUUUGCGCUUUGCUGGCAGAGAAACCCGUGUCCUGGAGAACCUGGGGCUGGGGGCGCUGCGGAGCUCCGAGUCCCAGGAGGGCCGAUGCUGGUCCUCCGUGCUGCUUAAUGAGUCCCUGACUGCUGCGAGCCCCAUCUGCGUGGAGGCCUUCCAGGCUGACCAGCGAGCCCUGCACAAGCUUCCGGAAGCCACUUCUGUCCCAAGUUGCAAGUGGGAUCGAACGUGCCUCUUUCAGCAUCCAGCCCAGCGGAGGGGAAGAGAGAGAGAGAGAGAGAGAGAGAGAGACACUCCCUCGGCCCACGCCAGAGCGGAGGGCACACGCGGCGUGCUGGCUUCUGCAUCGGCACCCCACCGGGCACUUGGCUUAUCGGUAAUUCUGUUCAACUAGGUGCCUCAUGCCGGGUAAGAUGAGCUGCAGGUUGCUGUUCCUUGUGGCUCGGGCCCGCGUCUCCACUCACUGAGGGCCUCUGAAAUCAGACGUAACGGGGCAAACUUGAGGCCUGGUGAUGCCUCCAAAAACAGCCCCAGAAGCCCUGAAAAACAGGGGGGCUUUUUACCGCAGGCGCCCCAAGGGAGAGGCGGGGACGUGACACAGAGGCAUUCCUGAAAAUCCUCUCAGGAAAACCUUCCUUCCCCCAGAGAUUCUCCCCACACACAGCCCUCUCACUGAAGCAGUGCUCCACCCCCACCCCCAGCUCCUCCCUCCCUGGGCCUUAAGGCUCAGACACUGGACCCUGACGGGGGGGGGGGGCCCUCUGUGUGCCCCCCACAGCCCCUAGAGACAUAUUCUCUCCCUCCUUCUCUCCAGGAAACCAGCCCUCCCUGAGGGUCUCUGCCUCCCGGAGUAACGAGGGAAAGCUCGUCACAGAAAAUGUCAGCUCAUCAGUACGGGAGGAAUGGAAGAAUUAGGAGCUCUGCAUUCUGCACCCCUCAGAUAACUGAGCGGGACAAGGGGACGUGAAAGUGUGUCAAUCACACAGUGCCACCCGGGAAAGAAAAAACACCCUCCACUUUCAUCGGAGAUGUCUGGCUGUCAGCGCCUUCAUGGGGAUUCAAACUCAGCAUCACCCAUGCUGGGUCAGUCUGACGUUAGGGGUCGAAAACUCCAGCUCACGGAAAUCGCCGACGCGUGGUCUUGCUGAAAACAUUUCAGCCCUCACGUCCAGUUUACGGGAAGGAGGAGGGACAGAGCACGCGGUAAACAACCCCAGGAGAAAGGACCAGACGGGUGCCGAGAGCCAGACCUAGCGCAUCCCUCAAACAGGGUAACGUCAGGAAAAGGGUAGGGUUGGUUCUAGGAUGAAAACAGCUAGAAAGAAGCAACGUUUCCAACAACAAGCAUGAACCUGAUCACCUAAGCAGCACGAAAGUAUUGUGAUGACAUUUCGGUAUGAACGGAGUAUCACAGACCCAUCCGUACUGCUAAUUGGGUGUGGUGACAGCACAAUGCUUAUCCGGAAGAAUGGCCUUAUUUCUAGGAGAUGAGCUGUUGAGGGUGAAAUGUCUUGAUGUCCGAAACUUGUUUUCAAAUGACUCAGCAAAGACGAUACGUGCACAGAAGGUAGAGAGGACAAAAUCAGCGACCGGAGCUGGGGAGCGGACGCGGUGGGGAGUUGUACAACGUGUUCCCCUUCUCUGGAUGUUUGAAAUUUUUUCGUAACACAAAGUUGGAGAAAAAUAAAAUGUCAGGUACCAAAUAA